GACGAACUGUCCUACCGUUGUUCGGAAUCACUGGGCUUAAAGGGCGCGUAGGCGGUCCGACAAGUCAGGGGUGAAAUCCUGCAGCUUAACUGCAGAAGUGCCUUUGAUACUGUCGGUCUGGAGGGAGAUAGGGGUGUGCGGAACUUCCAGUGGAGCGGUGAAAUGCGUAGAUAUCGGAAGGAACACCAGUGGCGAAAGCGGCUUCCUGGUCCAGCACCGACGUUCAGGCACGAAAGCGUGGGGAGCAAACAGG
rnacentral:rRNA from 1 species